rnacentral:rRNA from 1 species
CCUACGGGAGACAGCAGUGAGGAAUAUUGGUCAAUGGUCGGGAGACUGAACCAGCCAAGCCGCGUGAGGGAUGAAGGUACAGAGUAUCGUAAACCUCUUUUGUCAGGGAACAAAGGCGGGGACGUGUCCCCGGAUGAGUGUACCUGAAGAAAAAGCAUCGGCUAACUCCGUGCCAGCAGCCGCGGUAAUACGGAGGAUGCGAGCGUUAUCCGGAUUUAUUGGGUUUAAGGGGUGCGCAGGCGGUCUGUUAGGUCAGCGGUAAAAGCCCGGGGCUCAACCCCGGCCCGCCGUUGAAACUGGCAGUCUCGAGUUGGAGAGAAGUAUGCGGAAUGCGCGGUGUAGCGGUGAAAUGCAUAGAUAUCGCGCAGAACUCCGAUUGCGAAGGCAGCAUGCCGGCUCCACACUGACGCUGAGGCACGAAAGCGUGGGUAUCGAACAGGAUUAGAUACCCGAGUAGUC